rnacentral:rRNA from 1 species
UCGAGAAUCUUCGGCAAUGGACGCAAGUCCGACCGAGCGACGCCGCGUGCGGGAUGAAGGCCUUCGGGUUGUAAACCGCUGUCAGUGGGGAGGAAAUCCAGGGGAGUUAUCUCUUCUGGUUGACCUAUCUUCGGAGGAAGUGCGGGCUCAGUUCGUGCCAGCAGCCGCGGUAAGACGAACCGCACAAACGUUAUUCGGACUCACUGGGCUUAAUGGGUGCGUAGGAGGUCCGGAAAGUUGGGUGUGCAAUCCCUCGUCUCAACCGAGGAAC